GAUGAACGCUAGCGACAGGCCUAACACAUGCAAGUCGAGGGGUAACAGGGAAGCUUGCUUCCGCUGACGACCGGCGCACGGGUGCGUAACGCGUAUGAAACCUGCCUUAUACUGGGGGAUAGCCCGAAGAAAUUCGGAUUAAUACCCCAUAAUAUUGUUGAUUGGCAUCAAUUAAUAAUUAAAACUCCGGUGGUAUAAGAUGGUCAUGCGUGACAUUAGCUAGUUGGUAAGGUAACGGCUUACCAAGGCGACGAUGUCUAGGGGUUCUGAGAGGAAGGUCCCCCACACUGGUACUGAGACACGGACCAGACUCCUACGGGAGCAGCAGUGAGGAAUAUUGGUCAAUGGACGCAAGUCUGAACCAGCCAUGUCGCGUGCAGGAAGACUGCCCUAUGGGUUGUAAACUGCUUUUAUAUGGGAAGAAAAUAUAGUUACGUGUAAUUAUUUGCCGGUACAUAUGAAUAAGCUCGG
rnacentral:rRNA from 1 species